rnacentral:rRNA from 1 species
AGCAUCUUGCAAUGGCAGAAGUCUGAUGGAGCAACGCCGCGUGAGUGAAGAAGGUUUUCGGAUCGUAAAGCUCUGUUGUUGGUGAAGAAGGAUAGAGGUAGUAACUGGCCUUUAUUUGACGGUAAUCAACCAGAAAGUCACGGCUAACUACGUGCCAGCAGCCGCGGUAAUACA